AGAGGACAGGUCUACACCUUCUACAGGAAACCUGAGACCAGGUAGAGUAGAGGACAGGUCUACACCUUCUACAGGAACCCUGAGACCAGGUAGAGUAGAGGACAGGUCUACACCUUCUACAGGAACCCUGAGACCAGGUAGAGUAGAGGACAGGUCUACACCUUCUACAGGAUACCUGAGACCAGGUAGAGUAGAGGACAGGUCUACACCUUCUACAGGAUACCUGAGACCAGGUAGAGUAGAGGACUGGUCUACACCUUCUACAGGAUACCUGAGACCAGGUAGCGUAGAGGACAGGUCUACACCUUCUACAGGAAACCUGAGACCAGGUAGAGUAGAGGACUGGUCUACACCUUCUACAGGAUACCUGAGACCAGGUAGAGUAGAGGACUGGUCUACACCUUCUACAAGAUACCUGAGACCAGGUAGAGUAGAGGACAGGUCUACACCUUCUACAGGAUACCUGAGACCAGGUAGAGUAGAGGACUGGUCUACACCUUCUACAGGAUACCUGAGACCAGGUAGAGUAGAGGACUGGUCUACACCUUCUACAGGAAACCUGAGACCAGGUAGAGUAGAGGACAGGUCUACACCUUCUACAGGAUACCUGAGACCAGGUAGAGUAGAGGACAGGUCUACACCUUCUACAGGAUACCUGAGACCAGGUAGAGUAGAGUAGAGGACAGGUCUACACCUUCUACAGGAUACCUGAGACCAGGUAGAGUAGAGUAGAGGACAGGUCUACACCUUCUACAGGAUACCUGAGACCAGGUAGAGUAGAGUAGAGGACAGGUCUACACCUUCUACAGGAAACCUGAGACCAGGUAGAGGACAGGUCUACACCUUCUACAGGAAACCUGAGACCAGGUAGAGUAGAGGACAGGUCUACACCUUCUACAGGAAACCUGAGACCAGGUAGAGUAGAGGACAGGUCUACACCUUCUACAGGAAACCUGAGACCAGGUAGAGUAGAGUAGAGGACAGGUCUACACCUUCUACAGGAAACCUGAGACCAGGUAGAGUAGAGGACAGGUCUACACCUUCUACAGGAUACCUGAGACCAGGUAGAGUAGAGGACUGGUCUACACCUUCUACAGGAAACCUGAGACCAGGUAGAGUAGAGGACAGGUCUACACCUUCUACAGGAUACCUGAGACCAGGUAGAGUAGAGGACUGGUCUACACCUUCUACAGGAAACCUGAGACCAGGUAGAGUAGAGGACAGGUCUACACCUUCUACAGGAUACCUGAGACCAGGUAGAGUAGAGGACAGGUCUACACCUUCUACAGGAUACCUGAGACCAGGUAGAGGACAGGUCUACACCUUCUACAGGAAACCUGAGACCAGGUAGAGUAGAGGACAGGUCUACACCUUCUACAGGAUACCUGAGACCAGGUAGAGUAGAGGACAGGUCUACACCUUCUACAGGAUACCUGAGACCAGGUAGAGUAGAGUAGAGGACAGGUCUACACCUUCUACAGGAGACCUGAGACCAGGUAGAGUAGGCCUACAGUAGGCUACACUUUUGUAUGUGUGUGUAAUAUUGUUGUUACGUGUGUGUGUGUGUGUGUGUAAUAUUGUUGUAGUGUGUGUGUUUGUGUAACAUCGUUGUAAUGUGUGUUUGUGUAACGUGUGUGUAAUAUUGUUGUAACGUGUGUGUGUGUA